rnacentral:rRNA from 1 species
GAUGAACGCUAGCUACAGGCUUAACACAUGCAUGUCGAGGGGAAACGACAUCGAAAGCUUGCUUUUGAUGGGCGUCGACCGGCGCACGGGUGAGUAACGCGUAUCCAACCUGCCCACCACUUGGGGAUAACCUUGCGAAAGUAAGACUAAUACCCAAUGACGUCUCUAGAAGACAUCUGAAGGAGAUUAAAGAUUUAUCGGUGAUGGAUGGGGAUGCGUCUGAUUAGCUUGUUGGCGGGGUAACGGCCCACCAAGGCGACGAUCAGUAGGGUUGCUGAGAGGAAGGUCCCCCACAUUGGAACUGAGACACGGUCUAAACUCCUACGGGAGGCAGCAGUGAGGAAUAUAGGUCGAUUGACGAGAGCCUGAACCAGCCAAGUAGCGUGCAGGAUGACGGCCCUAUGGGUUGUAAACUGCUUUUAUAAGGGAAUAAAGUGAGUCUCGUGAGACUUUUUGCAUGUACCUUAUGAAUAAGGACCGGCUAAUUCCGUGCCAGCCGCCGCAGUAA